AGUUAAAUAGUUUAAAUCAAAACAUUAAUUUUGUAAAUUAAUAAUAAAUUUUUUUUUUUAACUU
rnacentral:tRNA from 1 species